UUUAAAUCCCCUCGACCUCUGACUUGCAUUAAACUUCUCCACUUCCUGCUCGCCGUCCCACUCUUAUGGACUGAAAAGGCGAUGUAUUUGGAGGAAAGGGAUUAUAUUUCUAUUGAUUUGGACUGCAUUUGAGCACAAGAUGAGCUGGAUUCCUUUCAAAAUCGGACAACCAAGGAAACAGAUUGUUUCGAAAACGGUUGAAAGGGACUUUGAGCGGGAAUAUGAGAAGCUCCAAAAGUUGGAAGAACAGACAAAGAAGCUGCAUAAAGACAUGAAGAAAAGCACAGAGGCUGAUUUAG